GUUUGAUCCUGGCUCAGGACGAACGCUAGCUACAGGCUUAACACAUGCAAGUCGAGGGGCAGCGGGGAGGAAGCUUGCUUUCUCUGCCGGCGACCGGCGCACGGGUGAGUAACGCGUAUCGAACCUGCCUCAUACUCGGGAAUAGCCUUGCGAAAGUAAGAUUAAUGCCCGAUGUUUUCAGCGGUCCGCAUGAACUGCUGAACAAAGAUUUAUCGGUAUGAGAUGGCGAUGCGUCCCAUUAGCUUGUUGGCGGGGUAACAGCCCACCAAGGCAUCGAUGGGUAGGGGUUCUGAGAGGAAGGUCCCCCACAUUGGAACUGAGACACGGUCCAAACUCCUACGGGAGGCAGCAGUAGGGAAUCUUCCACAAUGGGCGAAAGCCUGAUGGAGCAACGCCGCGUGGGUGAAGAAGGUCUUCGGAUCGUAAAACCCUGUUGUUAGAGAAGAAAGUGCGUGAGAGUAACUGUUCACGUUUCGACGGUAUCUAACCAGAAAGCCACGGCUAACUACGUGCCAGCAGCCGCGGUAAUACGGAAGGUCCAGGCGUUAUCCGGAUUUAUUGGGUUUAAAGGGAGCGCAGGCGGACUCUUAAGUCAGUUGUGAAAUACGGCGGCUCAACCGUCGGACUGCAGUUGAUACUGGGAGUCUUGAGUGCACACAGGGAUGCUGGAAUUCAUGGUGUAGCGGUGAAAUGCUCAGAUAUCAUGAAGAACUCCGAUCGCGAAGGCAGGUAUCCGGGGUGCAACUGACGCUGAGGCUCGAAAGUGCGGGUAUCAAACAGGAUUAGAUACCCUGGUAGUCCACGCCGUAAACGAUGAAUACUAGGUGUAGGGGUUUCAACACCUCUGUGCCGCCGCUAACGCAUUAAGUAUUC
rnacentral:rRNA from 1 species